GUAGUAUUCCGUCCGUCCCAAAAUUCUUGUCUUACAUUUGUUUAGAUGCGGAUGUAUCUAACACUAAAAUGUAACUAGAUACAUCCGUAUUUAGACAAAUUUAAGACAAGAAUUUUGGGACGAAGGGAGUAUAAA
rfam:Triticum aestivum genome assembly, contig: Triticum_aestivum_CS42_TGACv1_scaffold_220898_3B